AGCGAAGGCUGGCGGCAGGCCUAACACAUGCAAGUCGAACGAACUCUUCGGAGUUAGUGGCGGACGGGUGAGUAACACGUGGGAACGUGCCUUUUGGUUCGGAAUAACUCAGGGAAACUUGUGCUAAUACCGAAUGUGCCCUUCGGGGGAAAGAUUUAUCGCCAUUAGAGCGGCCCGCGUCUGAUUAGCUAGUUGGUGAGGUAACGGCUCACCAAGGCGACGAUCAGUAGCUGGUCUGAGAGGAUGACCAGCCACACUGGGACUGAGACACGGCCCAGACUCCUACGGGAGGCAGCAGUGGGGAAUCUUGCGCAAUGGGCGAAAGCCUGACGCAGCCAUGCCGCGUGAAUGAUGAAGGUCUUAGGAUUGUAAAAUUCUUCCACCGGGGACGAUAAUGACGGUACCCGGAGAAGAAGCCCCGGCUAACUUCGUG
rnacentral:rRNA from 1 species